GACUCUCGGCAACAGAUAUCUCGGCUCUCGCAUCGAUCAAGAACGUAGAAAAAUGCGAUACCUUGUGUGAAUUGCAGAAUCCCGCGAACCAUCGAGUCUUGGAACGCAAGUUGCGCCCGAGGCCACUCGGCUGAGGGCACGCCUGCCUGGGCAUCA
rnacentral:rRNA from 1 species